UGGCUCUGGAGAACGUUCCUCAAGGGGACUGCCGAAGGUGCAACGCGCGCAAAGGGGUUUGCGUGCCAAUCUCUCAGGCAAAAGGACAGAGAUG
rnacentral:ncRNA from 1 species